ensembl:lncRNA
CAACAAACAUUAUCUAUCAUAAGAGACAGAGAUUUGGAAUGAAGUCUAGAUGUUUCUGCAGAUUUAAGUGUAUAUGAGAAGGUUUGGAGUCCACAGAUUGGAAACCAAAGCUCUGGAUUCUGUUCUUGCGUUCUUGUUCUGCAUAGAAAGAGAAAAUGAUCGCUCCAUAUCCUUCAUAUGUAAAUCUUCAAUGCAAUCACGGCACCAGUCCCUCUUAGGGCUCGGACUCCCGUUGGCAGGCUGAUGAAACGAAGGGUUGUUGUUCUCCCUACUUCCUCCAUCCAGUCUUGGGAUCAGCUAAAAAAAAAAGGACACUGACAGAAAAAAUGGACAAAAACAUGAACACGCAAGUCACAAAAGAAGUACAAAUGACCUAUAAAUAUAUGCAACAUGCUCAGAUUCAUUGAUGAGAGAGAUAACUUGGCAACAGUGGGAUAAAAAAUUUUGCCUUUCUUUAAGAAGAGACCUUUAAAGACAAACACCGACCCAUCAGAAGAGCUCAGCUCCACUUCUGUCUCACUCCUUGCUGUUUGCCUCUCAACUGUGAAAUGGGGAUGGUGUUAUUGGCUAACCUAUUGAGUUACGGCAAAGAAUGAGAAAAUAAGUUUCCCUGUAUAACAUCAUCAGCCAGAGGCAAGACCAAAUACUCAAACUCUGCCAGACCCCAGAAUUCAGAUGUCAAAGAAGUUCGACAUGUCAUCACAAGGACAAGAAGAUGAUAACAAGUUUCUGUGCAAAUUCAGAGCAGAGAGCGUGUUUCAAGACUGUCUACCCAGGACCGUUUCAGGCAGUGGAGGACUCAUGCAUAUUUUCAUGCCUGCAUCAUUCCAUCACCGGACAAGGCCAAUGAGCCCUCCUGAGCACCAGGUGCCAUGUGCAGAACACUCACCCUGUGGGUCCUCCCAGCCUUUUGAAGCCACCUGCCCCCAAGAGAUUCAGGCUCAGUAAGCGAGGCCCACUGCAUGGAAUCGAACCGGAUAAAUACCACAAUAAAAGCUGUUCAUUUUAACAAAGAUUUCAAAAAGAAAGAAUUAAAC